GACGAACGCUGGCGGCGUGCCUAACACAUGCAAGUCGAACGAUGAAGCCCAGCUUGCUGGGUGGAUUAGUGGCGAACGGGUGAGUAACACGUGGGCAACCUGCCCCAAACUCUGGGAUAACUCCUCGAAAGAGGUGCUAAUACCGGAUACGAACUAGACAGACAUCUGUACUAGUUGGAAAGUUUUUCGGUUUGGGAUGGGCCCGCGGCCUAUCAGCUUGUUGGUGAGGUAACGGCUCACCAAGGCUACGACGGGUAACCGGCCUGAGAGGGCGACCGGCCACACUGGGACUGAGACACGGCCCAGACUCCUACGGGAGGCAGCAGUGGGGAAUAUUGCGCAAUGGGCGAAAGCCUGACGCAGCGACGCCGCGUGAGGGAUGAAGGUCUUCGGAUCGUAAACCUCUUUCAGUAGGGACGAAGCGAAAGUGACGGUACCUAAAGAAGAAGCACCGGCUAACUACGUGCCAGCCGCCGCGGUAA
rnacentral:rRNA from 1 species